rnacentral:rRNA from 1 species
UACGUAGGGGGCAAGCGUUGUCCGGAUUUAUUGGGCGUAAAGAGCUCGUAGGCGGUUUGUCGCGUCUGCUGUGAAAACUCGAGGCUCAACCUCGGGCUUGCAGUGGGUACGGGCAGACUAGAGUGCGGUAGGGGUGACUGGAAUUCCUGGGUGUAGCGGUGGAAUGCGCAGAUAUCAGGAGGAACACCGAUGGCGAAGGCAGGUCACUGGGCCGCAACUGACGCUGAGGAGCGGAAAGCAUGGGGAGCGAACAGG